UAAUAAUAUUUUCAAUUGCAAUAGGGACCUUAUAGGUCGAUGACCUGCUCGGGCCCUAAUAAUAAUCAUUUGAAAUAUGAUAGGGUCCUUGCAGGUUCCCUGCUCAGGCCCUAAUAAAGAAUCAUUUGAAAAACAAUAGGGUCCUCGCAGGUUCCCUGCUCUGGCUUUAAUAAUAAUUUGAAAAACAAUAGGGUCCUUGCAGGUUUCCUGCUCGGGCCCUAACUAGAACUGCAAGCAGUUAUGAGCAGGGGCCAAGCCCCCCCGUGCACCGCAGAGCCCAUGGAAGUUGGCCCCAAAGGAUGACGGGCUCGGGGCAGAAGUGAGGACACAGGCCAACAUCUGAGCCGUGGUAUUCUCUGUAAUGGGAAGUGCACUGGAAGUGCAAAAGGCUAAAUGUGUGCUGAUUUGGAUUUGUUGUACUAAGCCACACCAACAUUGACCAGUAAUGACUACCUUCAAGAUAUGGCCUCAGGAUUGGCCCUACAUCAUACCAACCAAGAUAGGCCAAAAUCGCAAGGAGGAGUUCGAAAAAAUAUGUUUUGCAUAUGUGGCGAUUUUGCGAAAUGUGCAGCAGAAGUGGUCGUGUCCUAUGUCAGAAAACCCCGCUCUAUUCAGGGAACGUGAUUGCGAUUGCAUCGCGAUUGCAUCUAUUAUAGCGCCAGCAAGUGGCGUACAUGUGCAGUUUUUGGUAUGGAAGAACUGUGUCCUAUUCUGUUUGUACCAUAUAAAUGUCAAAGCUGUCAGCAUGAUAGUUUGGCUGAAAUUAAUGUUUGUUGUUUGUCUUGUAAUAAGCCAUGCCCAUAUUGACCAGUCAUGACCACCUUCAAGAUAUGAUUGGCCCUACAUCAUACCGACCAAAUUUAGUAAAAAUCGAUGCAGCCGUUCAAGAGAUAUAAACUUUCCAUAUUUUUAGCUCCCCCUAGCGGCCAAAAUUCGCCAGUGUCAUGGCAACCAAGGAUCUUAAAUUUGGUGUUAAUAGCAUUUAGUUUGACUGAGAUAUCAAACAGUUUACAUUUUUAUAACUAGCUACAAAAAUUUGUUUGUUAAUAAUUUGUGCAAUUUUUGACCAAGCAAAAUUUUGAUUUUUGAGUUUUUGCGAUUUAGCGAAAAAUUUCUCUUGGUGGAAGUUGGCGUGGCCAUUGCAAAGUGAUUCAGCUCCAUUCAGGGAAUCUGGGGAUGCAAGGUUUUUGAAUGUGCGACAUACGGUGUAGAAGUUAUAGGCAAAGUCGAGUUGGCCUAGGUUAUAGCACCCCCUGCAGGCGGAUAUAUGUAGUUUUUUGUGUCUGAGAUAUUUGCAGGAGUCUGGACCAACCCUCCCAAUUGCACCGCCCUCUCAGGUUCCCUGCUUGGGUCCUAACAAUAAUCCUUAGGAAAACAAUAGGGACCUCAGAGGUCUGAGACCUGCUUGGGCCCUAAAAACAGACAAAAACAACAAAACACAAAAUAGCACAGAAACAAACUAACAACACAAACACUGAAUUUCUAAAUAAAUAAAUGAAAAGAAAAAAUGUGGGAGGGGGAUUCAUUAUAUCAGUGAAUGUUAAUGCUUAGUCUUAAUUUACUCCAAUACUUAUUAUUGCUUGCUGGUAAUUACCAAAAUAAAUACUAUAGGGUGACCACUGUUUAACAAAAUCCUCUAGGGUUGCUUGCAGUACAUGAGAUAACCAUUCAUGUGGAAGAAAUGAUAGUAGUUUAUCAUACGAUAUAGAUAUUGUAGGAGGAUGUACAUCAAACCAAACCUGUGGAAUCGAAAGGCGUGCGGCAUCCAACAUGAUAUUUAACAAGGUUACAAGCUGCUCUUAAGCUUGACUUAAACUAAGAUGGGAACGAGUUAAGAGAUGUUGAUUUGCACAAAUCAUAAGAGAAACAAUAAUUGAUAACUACAAUAACUACCUGCUUGAUUUCAUGCAUAUAUCUUGUACUUAAAUUAAACUAAUUUUUUAAAAAGUUUUGUGGAAAUACACUGCUGUUUCGUCCCAAUCCCUUGAGUUCUCCUCACAUUCUUUCACUAUUAAACCUAGUCGUGAGUUUGGCUGUUGAUUUUUAUGACUUGAUUUCACCAAUCGUUUAAGUGAUCUCCAAUUAUGACUUCUUUUGGCCAGGCAGUGCACAGAGGAACUGUAGUUUUUGAUUUUGCAUUUCCAGUAACUAAGGAUAAACAUGCAAGUAUAAUGAUGUUAAGCACAGUAUUGAAGGUAAUAAAGAUGAAAAACAGCAGUUGUCUUUCUCAGGUCAUGUUCAGAUUGCCCAGGUUCCAUGCAGGAAUGAGCCUAACAGUGCUGGAGAGCUCAACUACAGGUAUCUGUUCAACACAUUGGAAAACCAUGGCUACCAGGGAUACAUCGGCUGUGAAUACAAGCCGUUAGGCUCCACAAAGGAAGGUCUGGAUUGGCUCAAAGAUUACUGCACACACAGCAAGUGAUGAGCGAUGUGUUCAUUCAUAAAGCUGUGAACAUAUUUCAAGUGAUUACACCUGGGAGGUGUAACUACAACUUAUCUAAUUCCAUAUUUGUUAUAGUAUAAAAUAAGAAUAACAAGAAGAAUUAGAAGAAGACGAAGAAUCAUAUUUAUACAUUACAUUUCCAAUUUUCCAAUUUAAGUAUGAUGUAGGUACAUUUCAUACUGUAUAAUUUAAUGUAUGAAAAAUGGUUUAAUGGCAGUUGGUUCUUUUAUCAAUUAAGAGAUUACUGACAACUUUCUUAUUGUUUUUUGCAUCUUUAACUGUGAACCGGUUCAUUUUUAAGUGUACUGAUGACUGAUUUUAUUACAUAACCAAUUUACUAUGUACAGAUAAUUUAUUACAGCAAAAAAUACAUUGUGAUAAUUAUACUAAAAUGUCCUCAUCAUUAAUCUUCAUUUGUUAACAUUCUGUCAUUGACCAUAAAAUACAUCUGCAUUUCUCCAAUGUU